GCGUCGCAGUCCUGACCAGCACCGCGUCUACCAGUUCAUGAAGCGCGGCGAGCUGCAAUUCUCGAGCGUUGAGACAGCAGGCCAGACGCAAGAGUACUCGUCAACCGUGUCACCUGUACUAAGCGUUGAGAAGGAAACCCAAUGACUGAUACAACGCAGAGCACCCGCAGA
rnacentral:lncRNA from 1 species